rnacentral:rRNA from 1 species
GCUGGCGGCGUGCCUAAUGCAUGCAAGUCGCACGGGGAGCACCUUCGGGUGCUUCGAGUGGCGAACGGGUGAGGAACACGUGGCCGACCUACCCCGGCGUGGGGGAUACCCGCCAGAAAUGGCGGCUAAUACCGCGUACUCUCGCUUGCUGGUGGAGUGAGCGAAGAAAGCCGCAAGGCGCGCUGGGAGGGGGCUGCGACCGAUUAGCUUGUUGGUGGGGUAACGGCUCACCAAGGCGAUGAUCGGUAGCGGGUCUGAGAGGAUGAUCCGCCACACGGGGACUGAGACACGGCCCCGACUCCUACGGGAGGCAGCAGCAAGGGAUUUUCCGCAAUGGGGGCAACCCUGACGGAGCAACGCCGCGUGCGGGACGACGCCUCUUGGGGUGUAAACCGCUUUUGCCGAGGACGAGCACGGACGGUACUCGGCGAAUCAGGACCGGCUAACUACGUGCCAGCAGCCGCGGUAAUACGUAGGGUCCGAGCGUUGUCCGGA